AGUGGGGAAUUUUGCACAAUGGGCGAAAGCCUGAUGCAGCAACGCCGCGUGUGUGAUGAAGGUCUUUGGAUCGUAAAGCACUUUCGACCGGGACGAACACCCUUUGGCUAACAUCCAGGGGCCUGACUGUACCGGGAGAAGAAGCACCGGCUAACUCUGUGCCAGCAGCCGCGGUAAUACAGAGGGUGCAAGCGUUGUUCGGAAUUAUUGGGCGUAAAGCGCGUGUAGGCGGCUUUGCAAGUCGGGUGUGAAAGCCCUCAGCUCAACUGAGGAAGUGCGCCCGAAACUGCAGAGCUUGAGUACCGGAGAGGAUGGCGGAAUUCCCCAAGUAGAGGUGAAAUUCGUAGAUAUGGGGAGGAACACCGGUGGCGAAGGCGGCCAUCUGGACGGAUACUGACGCUGAGACGCGAAAGCGUGGGUAGCAAA
rnacentral:rRNA from 1 species